rnacentral:lncRNA from 1 species
UGCAACUUUGCUCAUGUUAUUUGGCUCUGUAGGAAAAGUCACAUUCGACUGACCACAAAUAAUACUGGCUUCAACAGUGAUGAAAUCAGAAGGAAGAUCAGCACUGAUUAUACCUGUGCCGGACCAGAAAUCAGAGAAAGAAAGAAGGGUGUUGAAAAGUAAAAUAUGGUCGCACAGUAGAAUAAUGUAGGUUGGACCUCUGGAGGCCAUCUGAUGGAUGUUAGACAAAGACAGAAAUUAAAAAGGAAUCCUGUAACCUCUCAAAUCUUGCAUGGGCUUGACUUCUGCUUGUUGUGAAUGAGGAGGAACACGUCAGACUUGCAGCUUACUCUCUCUGCUUGCGCAUACUGGAUAUUCUUGCCCUAAGGGGAACCAUACUUCUAUUGGAUCUCUGUGCCCUGGUUUUGGAAGUGCUCCUUCUGACUGGACAGAUUGUAGGAACUGGAAAAGAGCGUUCUCUUCAACACAAAAUAUUGACUGGCAGAAUGGCAAAAGAAGAGUGUUAUUAGAGAUCGAUGAUCAGUCUGGCACAGAGAACACAAAUGAGGAGGACACAUCUGAAAUCUGGAUCCAGAAAAGAAACUUUGAUGAAUUCCUAUUUCAGAGGAGCUAAGAUCUAAAAUGGAGCUGCUCUAGCUUUAUGUGCACAGGGAAACGGUGGAAGACCAAGCUGAGCAACGGAAGGGACUGAUAGCAUGAAACAGUCCUGCAGCCCUAAAGGUAACUCUUCAAAUCCAUUUCAGGUUGAUGGUGCCAGUAAAGUCACUGCAGUCUGAA